GGGGUCGACUGGUUUUGACAGCAUGUUUAAUAAAUUAGUAAGCAAGUCGAGCGUUGAAAUAUUAGCUCGUUAAUAUCAUGUUUCAAAUUUUAAAUGGCGAAAAUAACUACGCUCUAGCUGCAUAAAUAACUGAAUUAUAGUAAGUUAAUGCCAAGUUCUGACUAGGUUGGAAAGCUGGAUGUCUCAUAAUAGCCCUUGUUGACGGCGAUUAAUUUAGAGGCACCAUAAAUGUCAACAUCGAAAAGCGAACGCAUUUUUCGUUUUUUUCAAUUGCAAUAUGCUAAGCUUGUUGUAGAUUGUUUUUGUUUAGCAAUAAGUCUAAAACUUAACGAAAACUAAGCUUGUAGAACGCUUUUUUAUAGCGUGUUUGGACGAGGGUUCGAAUCCCUCCGACUCCACAA
rnacentral:tmRNA from 1 species